rnacentral:rRNA from 1 species
CGAAGGGGAGUGGCAGACGGGUGAGUAACGCGUGGGAACACUACCCCUCGGUUCGGAAUAACUCAGGGAAACUUGAGCUAAUACCGAAUACGGUCGAGAGGCGAAAGAUUUAUCGCCGAGGGAUUGGCCCGCGUCCGAUUAGCUAGUUGGUGAGGUAAUGGCUCACCAAGGCGACGAUCGGUAGCUGGUCUGAGAGGAUGAUCAGCCACAUUGGGACUGAGACACGGCCCAA